CCCCUCUCAAGGUUGCAGUUGGAGAGUUUCCAGUACUCUAGCAGCCUCAACUACAGUAGGGAGAGUCAAGCAGAAGCAUAUCCAUUCCAUUUCUAGCUUGGCCAGUGGCUAGUGAGUGGAAGACAAUCUGUUACAAGU
rnacentral:snoRNA from 1 species